GAUGAACGCUAGCGGCAGGCCUAAUACAUGCAAGUCGGACGGGAUUCAGGAGCUUGCUUCUGAUGAGAGUGGCGCACGGGUGCGUAACACGUAUGUAACCUACCUUUAUCAGGGGGAUAGCCUCUCGAAAGAGAGAUUAAGCCCGCAUAAAAUCACAGCACAGCAUUGUGUAAUGAUCAAAUAUUUAUAGGAUAAAGAUGGGCAUGCGGAACAUUAGCUAGAUGGCGGGGUAACGGCCCACCAUGGCGACGAUGUUUAGGGGAUCUGAGAGGAUGGCCCCCCACACUGGUACUGAGACACGGACCAGACUCCUACGGGAGGCAGCAGUAAGGAAUAUUGGUCAAUGGGCGGAAGCCUGAACCAGCCAUGCCGCGUGCAGGAAGACGGUCCUACGGGUUGUAAACUGCUUUUAUACGGGAAUAAACCCAGAUACGUGUAUCUGGCUGAAUGUACAGUAAGAAUAAGGAUCGGCUAACUCCGUG
rnacentral:rRNA from 1 species